GAUGGGAGCUUGCUCCCUGAUGUUAGCGGCGGACGGGUGAGUACACGUGGGUAACCUGCCUGUAAGACUGGGAUAACUCCGGGAAACCGGGGCUAAUACCGGAUGCUUGUUUGAACCGCAUGGUUCAAACAUAAAAGGUGGCUUCGGCUACCACUUACAGAUGGACCCGCGGCGCAUUAGCUAGUUGGUGAGGUAACGGCUCACCAAGGCAACGAUGCGUAGCCGACCUGAGAGGGUGAUCGGCCACACUGGGACUGAGACACGGCCCAGACUCCUACGGGAGGCAGCAGUAGGGAAUCUUCCGCAAUGGACGAAAGUCUGACGGAGCAACGCCGCGUGAGUGAUGAAGGUUUUCGGAUCGUAAAGCUCUGUUGUUAGGGAAGAACAAGUACCGUUCGAAUAGGGCGGUACCUUGACGGUACCUAACCAGAUAGCCACGGCUAACUACGUGCCAGCAGCCGCGGUAAUACGUAGGUGGCAAGCGUUGUCCGGAAUUAUUGGGCGUAUAGGGCUCGCAGGCGGUUCCUUAAGUCUGAUGUG
rnacentral:rRNA from 1 species